AAUCUGCUUUACACAUACAGUUUUGUUGGGAUUGAUGUGGUGCUGUGGUGCUACUGUGAGUAAAAACUUCAGCUGGAGAGAAAUAAAACGUUUAAAUAAAUUGCGAAAACACUAGCGGCCCAAGAACCAGCAUUAAUGAAACACAAGGAAAGCUGCUUUAGGCAAGCGCCUGUGUUGAGAGGAGGUGGCCUACACACCAUCUUGCUUCAACUCAAGAAAUCUGGCAACCUUGGAGGUGUGAACUACAUGCAGACCAUGCCACACGAUGAGCCUACAUCCAUCACCCUCACAGCCACAAAUCCCCAUCCUCCAUUAUGGCUCUAUGUGGACUGCCCCUGGAGAACCCUUCAGCCAUGAACAUCAAUCAGCAGGGCACAGUGAUACUGCUCACACACAGAGCAUCGGUCAUAGCUUGAGAGCCAGUAGAGAUGCUGUCUGAGCUACAGAACAGAAAGACAUAAAAAUUACUGGCUUUCAGGACAUCCACAAGAACUUGGUUUAAUACUUUGCUUUAUGUAUUCGAAAGGCACCAUAAAUAAAGACAGCUAUCUUCUAAGAAAUAGUUUUUUGCCCAAAUUUUUUUAAUUGGUUGUUCCCGUUGUUAAAUGUAACUAAAGAAACAAGAUUUCACAGGCUCUGUAUGAAUUAAAUAGGGGGUUAAAAACAUAGAACUGUGUUGUUAUAAGAAAAUAAAUAAAUAACUGAGUGGGCCUCUCUUAUUACUGUCAGAAAUUUAGUCUGUCAGAAAUUUGUUAGAAACCCAGAAGGUGAUUAUUAUUUUCAUAUAACCCUAAGUGGUAUUCCUCUCAUGCCAGUGACUACAACUUUUAAUUUACUAACGAAUUAUAUAUCGUAUUUUUUAAUUGUUUAUAGUUACAUUUAACAUUAAGACAUAAGUCAGUUCCUGUUCUUGUUAAUUAACUGUUACUAUAGAAACAAUAAUGUAUUUUUAAAAAAGCUAAAAGUUGGUUGGUAGAAUUGGCUCAAUGGUUAAAACUCUGGGUUACUGAUCAGAAGGUUGAGAGUUCAAGCCCCAGCACUGCCAAGCUGACACUGUUGGGCCCUUGAUCAAGGCUCUUAACCCUCUCUGCUCCAGGGGGCGCUGUAUCAUAGCUGACCCUGCGCUCUGACCCCAACUUACUAACAAGUUGAGAAAAGGCUUGUUCUUAAUUAACACCUUCUGACCAAUCCGAUACAAGGAUUCAGCAGUGCUGUGGUAUUAAUUUAGUUAGACAUGUUUUUAUUUAAGAGGUCAUCAAGUGGUUGUGGCUAAACAAAAAUCUGCUACUAACAAAUGGACCAGUCGAUGUGGGAAAACGGCCAAACUACGAUAUUUACUCCUUACAACGUGUUCUUACUCUAAUGUAAUCCGUAUAUUUCAAAUUCAUACAACAAAUUACUGAAUGUGAUUAUUCAGCUGCAUUAUGGAACUAAUUGUUGACAAGUAAUGAACUCUGGACAGAACUCUAGACUGUAGGCUAUUUAAUGAUUUUGCAUACUGUAUGAAUAGUUUGAACAAUUAUACGUUUGUAUAGAAGUAGUGGGAUUCCUCCUAUUACAGCAGAUUCAGAGAGUCAUUUUUCAUCUCCAUAAAUAUUACAUGCAAAGACCUAGCUCAGCUCUCUGAGCCUGUAGACAUUUUCCUUGCUGUUUGCUUUGCUCUUCCAAGAUGUUUUGAUGUUUUGGGUCAUUUGCUGGUUAAUGUGAAGAUGUGGAGGAUCAGAAGGGUAAAAAAAUUACAAAAGAAAAUCUAUAUUUGUUUGAACUCUUUAUGAAUGCAUUUAGACAAAAGCAUGUACUAUUAUAGGUUAUAUAUCACUGACAUUCAUUUAGUAAUUGAAAUAUAUUUUAAAAUGUCAGAGGAUUGACUGUCUACCUUUGAUCCUUGAUGGGAUCUCUCGCUCCCGCUCUCUCUCUCUCCCUCUCUCUCUCUCUCUCUCAUUCCUGUAGCUAUAAAACUACUCACUCACAACGUUAAAGAUUGAGAGAUGUUUUAUGACAUGGCUGUUUAGUGAAAACCAAAAGAUCAGUAAUAAUACAUUAUGUACAGUCAACAUACUCAAACUUUUCCCCAUGAGGCCCACUUCACAGUUUUUUGAGAACUCGCAAUUACUAGUCCUAGCUAGUACUCUAGAUGAAAUUGAUUAUUAUCAGUAAUAAAGAUGAAAUAAAGAUAAAUAAAAAAUGUAAUAAGAUAAAGAUGUCCCAAAAAUAUCUUUAGUUAUAUUGCAACAGAAUAUUAGCAAUUAUAUUUUUGAUUAAACCAUGUUCUAAAAUCCCACAACAAGAUUUUUUCUUGCUUGCU